rnacentral:rRNA from 1 species
AUUGAACGCUGGCGGCGUGCUUAACACAUGCAAGUCGAUCAGUAACAGGUGUAGCAAUACAUGCUGACGAGAGGCGGACAGGUGAGGAAUAUUUGGGAAUCUGCCCAUCAGCGGGGGACAACCCGGGGAAACCCGGGCUAAUACCGCAUACGCUCUACGGAGGAAAGCCGGGGACCGCAAGGCCUGGCACUGAUGGAUGAGCCCAAAUCGGACUAGCUAGUUGGCGGGGUAACGGCCCACCAAGGCGACGAUCCGUAGCUGGUCUGAGAGGACGAUCAGCCACACCGGAACUGAGACACGGUCCGGACUCCUACGGGAGGCAGCAGUGGGGGAUAUUGGACAAUGGGGGAAACCCUGAUCCAGCGACGCCGCGUGGGUGAAGAAGGCCUGCGGGUUGUAAAGCCCUUUCGGUAGGGACGAAAGCUCCUGCUCUAAUAAUGCAGGAGGUUGACUUAACCUACAUAAGAAGCACCGGCUAACUCUGUGCCAGCCGCCGCAGUAAAAC